CUCAGUAACACGUGGAUAACCUGCCCUUAGGACUGGCAUAACCCCGGGAAACUGGGGAUAAUUCCGGAUAGUUCAUGGUAGCUGGAAUGCUCCAUGAUCGAAAGCUAUUGCGCCUAAGGAUGGGUCUGCGGUCUAUCAGGUAGUAGUGGGUGUAAUGUACCUACUAGCCGACGACGGAUACGGGUUGUGGGAGCAAGAGCCCGGAGAUGGAUUCUGAGACAUGAAUCCAGGCCCUACGGGGCGCAGCAGGCGCGAAAACUUUACAAUGCGGGAAACCGCGAUAAGGGGACACCGAGUGCCAGCAUCUUAUGUUGGCUGUCCGCAUGUAUAAAUCACAUGUGUUAGCAAGGGCCGGGCAAGACCGGUGCCAGCCGCCGCGGUAACACCGGCGGCCCGAGUGGUGGCCACUAUUAUUGGGUCUAAAGGGUCCGUAGCCGGUUUGGUCAGUCUUCCGGGAAAUCUGACGGCUUAACCGUUAGGCUUUCGGGGGAUACUACCAGGCUUGGGACC
rnacentral:rRNA from 1 species